rnacentral:rRNA from 1 species
UACGGAGGGCGCAAGCGUUGUUCGGAAUCACUGGGCGUAAAGCGCACGUAGGCGGAUGUGUCAGUCAGGGGUGAAAUCCCGGGGCUCAACCUCGGAACUGCCUCUGAUACAGCACGUCUUGAGUCCGGAAGAGGUGGGUGGAAUUCCUAGUGUAGAGGUGAAAUUCGUAGAUAUUAGGAAGAACACCGGUGGCGAAGGCGACCCACUGGUCCGGUACUGACGCUGAGGUGCGAAAGCGUGGGGAGCAAACAGG